UUAUAUUCAGAUCUUACUGAUGGAUUCCAUAUUAGUAACUGCAAAUUUCUUGUUUUGAGUGUACCUUAGGUCACUAUAUAAUGAUGGGGUUCUUUUAUUUUUCUUCUUUCGGUGUUUCUAAUCGUUCUAUUUGUGAACCAGCCAUAUAAAUGCUGUCUAACUAUGAUAAUCCUCAAGCUUAAAUAUGACUCUCUUCCGAAUUUCUUUUAUUUUCAAACUUGCUAUAUAUUUGGCUGAUGUAUAUCACAAUCUCUUUACACCAUCUUUAUUUCAGGUGGCCAGUAUGACAUUUGACUUGUUAUUGCUUCUAGUACUGGGAUCCUAUCUGAUAGUGCUCUUCAGUUUUCUUGUCAUCACAACUAGGGGUCUUGAUGAUCUAAUCAGUUUAUUUCGACGACCUCCCUCACGUAAAGUGAAAACAGCUUGAUUAGCAGAAGUAGGAUAUGUCAGGACUUUGCUUUUUUGGCACUGAAGACUAAAGAGUCUCUAUGUGGCUUAGAUUCGAAUGCCGAGUUAUUAGUAGUUCCAUUCUUGUUGUGUUGGUUAGUUUAUGUCACGAGGAUCAUCCAGCUGUUGGUAGUAGGGCAGACGCUUACAAUUUACAACUGAUUGGACCAGACUGAGAACUCAAGGUGAACCAUCAAGGUGACGAGGAAAUUUUUGUUGAGAUUCAUAUUUUAUUGAAGCUACAUUUCUGGGCAUAGAUUAUCUUUACUUUUGUGCAUGAUGAUGUAAUACCAACCAAAUAGAUGGUCAAAGGUGAAGAUAGAAUGAUUUUUCUACAGGUUUACUAGUUACAUGACCCAGUUGUAGCAACGCAUGCAGUUUUAGAUGUUAUAUUAUUUCUUUGGCACAAGCAGGGUUAUGAGUACCUAAUUUUCAGAAUGAUCUUUGUAGUAUGGGCAGAUUAAUUUGUCUCGUCUUUGUUGUGGGUCUGACCUUAUUGAGGUCUGUAGAAUGUGGACUGAUUCGUUUUAAAUAUUUUUGAAUCACACUUUUGGUCCCUAUUAUGUUUAA